rnacentral:rRNA from 1 species
UACGGAGGGUGCAAGCGUUAAUCGGAAUUACUGGGCGUAAAGCGCACGCAGGUGGCUGAGUCAGUCGAUUGUGAAAGCCCUGGGCUUAACCUGGGAAUUGCAGUCGAUACUACUCAGCUAGAGUAUGGGAGAGGGUAGUGGAAUUCCCGGUGUAGCGGUGAAAUGCGUAGAUAUCGUAAGGAAGACCAGUGGCGAAGGCGAGUUUCUGGACGGUAACUGACGCUGAGGCACGAAGGCCAGGGGAGCAAACGGG